rnacentral:rRNA from 1 species
AGUGAACGCUGGCGGUAGGCCUAACACAUGCAAGUCGAACGGCAGCACAGUAAGAGCUUGCUCUUACGGGUGGCGAGUGGCGGACGGGUGAGGAAUACAUCGGAAUCUACUUUUUCGUGGGGGAUAACGUAGGGAAACUUACGCUAAUACCGCAUACGACCUACGGGUGAAGGCAGGGGAUCUUCGGACCUUGCGCGAUUGAAUGAGCCGAUGUCGGAUUAGCUAGUUGGCGGGGUAAAGGCCCACCAAGGCGACGAUCCGUAGCUGGUCUGAGAGGAUGAUCAGCCACACUGGAACUGAGACACGGUCCAGACUCCUACGGGAGGCGGCAGUGGGGAAUAUUGGACAAUGGGCGCAAGCCUGAUCCAGCCAUACCGCGUGGGUGAAGAAGGCCUUCGGGUUGUAAAGCCCUUUUGUUGGGAAAGAAAAGCAGCAGGUUAAUACCCCGCUGUUCUGACGGUACCCAAAGAAUAAGCACCGGCUAACUUCGUG